AUCUACCUGACGAGUCCUAGACAGGACGAAAGUUCAUCCUUGAU
rnacentral:hammerhead_ribozyme from 1 species